GCAUGCAGGUCCUAUAUGAGCGC
rnacentral:piRNA from 1 species